UUCCUGCAAAGAAGCAGUAUUGGUCAAAAUCGAGCACAGUGUGCUACAGAACUGCUGCAAGAGUUGAAUAAUGAUGUCUGUGGAAAUUUUGUGGAAGAGAACCCAGAUAAACUUCUAGACAACGAUCCUUCUUUUUUUUGUCGGUUUAAUGUAGUGAUUGCAACUCAACUCCCAGAAAGGUA